UACAGAUGUUGUGUAAACAGAGUCAAAGGCUUUUUCAUAAUCAAUGAAUCCCAAGCAAAGUGGUACUCUUUGCUGGUUUGAAUCACUUGCCGUACAACUUGAAGAUGAUCCAUUGUGCUAAAUCCACUCCUGAAUCCUGCUUGCUCAUUUGAUUGUGCCGAGUCAAAUUUAUCUUGAAGUCUGUUGGAACUUCGCAAGAAGCAUUUGAAACAGAGGGAGACAAGCGUAUACCCACAGCUGAAGCUGGCAACCCCGUUGAGAGCCGCAAGAGACGCCAAUGCCAGGUUGGCAAGUACAAUAAAAAAAGCUUUGGACAGCUGUGCCCUGUGCAGGAAGGCGGUGUGGAGAAGCGCAUUAUCUGUGUUGAUUGUGAACAGCCUUAGACUCAAGGUAAA